GGUAAAGAUUAACCUAUGAAUGAUGAUUACAAGUAAAGUGUUACCUAUGGAUGAUGAUUUCAGGUAAAGUGUAACCUGUGGAUGAUGAUUACAGGUAAAGUGUAAUCUAUGGAUGAUGAAUUCAGAUUAAAUUUUACCUGUAGUUGAUAAGUAGAGAUUAACCUCUGAAUGAUGAUAACAGGUAAAGUGUUACCUGUGGAUGAUGAUUACAGGUAAAGUGUUACCUGUGGAUGAUGAUUACAGGCAAAGAUUUAACUCUGAAUGAUAAUUUCAGGUAAGUGUUUCUUGUGAAUGAUGCUUACAAGUAAAGCAAUAACUGUGGAUGAUGAUUAAAGGUGAAAAUUUACCUCAGGAUGAAGAUUACAGGUAAAGACUAACCUCUGAAUGAUGAGAACAGGUAAAAUGUAACCUGUGGAUGAUGAUAUCAGAUUAAAUUCU